UUGCGAAAUGCUCAUUAAAUCAGUUAUGAUUCGUUAGAUUGUAUUAUCCUACGUGGAUAACCGUAGUAAUUCUAGAGCUAAUACAUGCCUCGAAGCCUCUACCUCACGGUGGGGGCGCAAUUAUUAGAUUAAGACCAACCGGCUUCGGCUGGCGUUUUGAUGACUCUGGAUAUUUUACUCGAUCGCACGGCCUUAGUGUCGGCGACUUAUCUUUCGAAUGUCUGCCCUAUCAACUAUCGAUGGUAGGAUAUUGGCCUACCAUGGUGAUAACGGGUAACGGGGAAUCAGGGUUCGAUUCCGGAGAGGGAGCCUGAGAAAUAGCUACCACAUCCAAGGAAGGCAGCAGGCGCGUAAAUUACCCACUCCCGGCACGGGGAGGUAGUGACGAAAAAUAACGAUACGGAACUCGUUUAGAGGCUCCGUAAUUGGAAUGAGUACACUUUAAAUCCUUUAACGAGGAUCAAUUGGAGGGCAAGUCUGGUGCCAGCAGCCGCGGUAAUUCCAGCUCCAAUAGCGUAUAUUAAAGUUGUUGCAGUUAAAAAGCUCGUAGUUGGAUCUGAGGAAGAGUGCUGAUGUUGUCUAGCCGUAAUGGGUGGGAUGCAUUGCCUCUCCUUAACUUGUCGGAUUGUGUCUUAGGCGCUCUUCAUUGAGUGCUUUUGAUGCCCGGCGCUAUUACUUUGAAAAAAUUAGAGUGCUUAAAGCAGGCUUUGUGCUUGUAUAUUGUUGCAUGGAAUAAUGGAAUAGGACUUCGGUUCUAUUUUGUUGGUUUUCGGAAUUGAAGUAAUGAUUAACAGGGACUGCCGGGGGCUUUCAUAUGGCGGCGGGAGAGGUGAAAUUCUGGGAUCGCCGCCAGAUGAUCCUAAGCGAAAGCAUUUGCCAAGAAUGUCUUCACUAAUCAAGAACGAAAGUCAGAGGUUCGAAGACGAUCAGAUACCGUCCUAGUUCUGACCUUAAACGAUGCCAUCUGCUUAUUCACGAUUGUGCUUUGCGCGAAAGUGGGCAACCCUCGGGAAAACCAAAGAUUUUAGGUCCCGGGGGUAGUAUGGUUGCAAGUCUGAAACUUAAAGGAAUUGACGGAAGGGCACCACCAGGAGUGGAGCCUGCGGCUUAAUUCGACUCAUCACGGGAAAACUCACCCGGCCCGGACACUGUGAGGAUUGACAGAUUGAUAGCUCUUUCUUGAUUCGGUGGUUGGUGGUGCAUGGCCGUUCUUAGUUGGUGGAGCGAUUUGUCUGGUUAAUUCCGAUAACGAACGAGACUUUGGCCUGCUAAAUAGUAUGCCUGUCCUCUGUGCUCGUGCGGACUGCGGUGUUCACCGCUUCUUCGGGAGGGGUGGUGCCGUCUGUCGGCGCUGACUGGGCAGGUGCUUAUUUUUUAGACGGACAAGCGGCCUGACAGACGCAAGAGAAUGAGCAAUAACAUGUCUGUGAUGCCCUUAGAUGUUCGGGGCCGCACGCGCGCUACACUGACAGAAUUAAGCGAGUCUAAUCCUGAAUAGAGAUAUUUGGGUAACCUGCUGAAGCUCUGUCGUGACAGGGAUCGGGGUUUGUAACUAUCCCCCGUGAACGAGGAAUUCCUAGUAAAGGCAAGUCACUAGCUUGCUUUGAUUACGUCCCUGCCCUUUGUACACACCGCCCGUCGCUACUACCGAUUGAAUGGUUUAGUGAAGUCAUCGGAUUGUGACCAGCGAGGUGGUUUCGGCCACGUUGUCGGUUGCAAGAAGACGAUUAAACUUGAUCAUUUAAAGGAAGUAAAAGUCGUAACAAGA
rnacentral:rRNA from 1 species